GUGAGACUCCAACUCAAAAAAACAAGAAAGAAAGAAAGAAAGAAAGAAAGAAAGAAAGAAAGAAAAGCAUCUUUUUGUUCAGUAAUGAUGUUGUAAUUUUGCAAAAUCAAACCAAGCAAGAUCUACGUAUCUUCCCAUUCAAAGCUAGCUAGGUGGUUCUCCGUUCUCAAACAGAGACUGUAAUGUGCACCGUGCUCUACAGAACAAAUGCUAACCAUCUUUAAGGAUCUUUCUGUUAGACUCAUAGAGAUUUCCGACCCCCUUUAACUUAUGGGUAGAUCAGAACCAGGAAAAGUUGGCGAUACCAAAGGGCAGAAGGAACUUUUCUUUCAAACUUGGCCUACUAUGCAAAAACUGCGGGGGACUCACCUUAGCUCUGCACAAGACUCCAUCAUCACCUCAGGGAAGUCACUGUGGGACACUCAGUUUCCUGAUGAGCAUACAUGAGAUGGAACUCAGUCGUUUCCCACAUCUACUUAAAGUUAUCCUCAGAGACUUGGAACUGUGAGGUGUUCUCUGUCUGAGACCUCCCUGGGAGAGGGUGCGGCAGGGACAAAGUGUAGAAGACAAGACUUAUACACUGUGGCAAUGUGAGGGAAGUUCUCAGGCUCACAAAAUCUUGGCAACAAA